rnacentral:rRNA from 1 species
UACAGGGGGGGCAAGCGUUGUUCGGAAUUACUGGGCGUAAAGGGUCUGUAGGUGGCUUACUAAGUCAGACGUGAAAUCCCUCAGCUUAACUGGGGAACUGCGUCUGAUACUGGAAAGCUUGAGUGCAGGAGAGGAACGCGGAAUUCCAGGUGUAGCGGUGAAAUGCGUAGAUAUCUGGAGGAACACCGAUUGCGAAGGCAGCUUACUACAGGGAUAUUGACACUGAGGCACGAAAGCGUGGGGAUCAAACAGG